rnacentral:tRNA from 1 species
CAGAGAGUAGUUUAAAAAAAAUAUUAAUUUUGGGGAUUAAAGAUAAAGGUAUUUUUCUCUGA